CCGGGGUGGAGCGGGGGGUGUGCGGCACUGGGGGGGCCCGUCUGAACGCUGAGGGUCCUGUGCACCGGGGCUGCGCACCCCGGUGUCCCGGGGCCGGGGUCAGCCCCGGCGGUGCCGCACAGCCCGGUACCCGGAGGCGCCGCACAGCCCGGUGCCCCGGGGCUAGUGCGGAUUCCGGUGCCAGUGGUCCUGCGCAUCCUCGUGACCCUGUGGCGGUGACGGUCCCGGUCCUUGGGGCACACGGGUGCCCUGGGGCUGAUGCCGGUCCCAGUCCCAGUGGUGCUGCACAUCCGGAACCCCAGGGCUGGUCCUGGUCCCGGUCCCGGGCGUGCUCUGCAUCCCGGGGCCGAUCAGCUUCCCCUGUACCAGCGGGAAGGAGGUGGGCAGCAGGCGGGGUCCCUGCGGCUCUUGGUGGGGUCAGGACUCGGCCCUCGGGGUCUUUGGAGGCUCCAUCCCCCUCCUCAGCGCAGCUCUCCCUGGCAGGUGACACCGCACAGGGACGGGGCUGGGGACAUCCGAAGCCAGGUAAGAGGGGGCCGGGCUGUGCAGGGCCUGGGGGUGCCUCAGGCCAGCAGGGACCCCGUGGUGACGCGUGUCCCCCGCAGCAGUGAUGUCGGAGAGCGUGGCCGAGGCGCCGGCAGCCGGGAGCCCGGCAGCGCUGGGCGAGACGGGCACCAGCCAUGAGCUGCUGCAGCGCCUGCGGGAGCUGGAGGCAGAGAACUCAGCCCUGGCCCAGGCCAAUGAGAACCAGCGGGAGACGUAUGAACGCUGCCUGGACGAGGUUGCCAACCACGUGGUGCAGGCACUGCUCAACCAGAAGGACCUGCGUGAGGAGUGCAUCAAGCUGAAGAAACGUGUCUUCGAGCUGGAGAGGCAGAACCAGGUGCUGAGCGACCUGUUCCAGCAGAAGCUGCAGCUCUCCACUGGGUCCCUCCCCCAGCUGCCGCUGCACCCGGUGCCAGUACCCCCGGAUGUCCCAGUCACCCCCCAGCCAGGCUCUGCUGAGCAACAGCCCCCCCCGCUGCUCCCUGGCCUCUGUCUGUCCCUGCCCGAGGUGCUGCCACCAGUGCCAUCGGGCAGCCCUGGCCUCAGCCCUGGCGCCCCACCCCUGGAUGCCCUGUCCCCCUUCUUCAAAAAGAAAGCCCAAAUCCUGGAGGUGCUGCGCAAGCUGGAGGAGACAGACCCGCUGCUGGGGCCCCCCCCGGCCUCCCCCGGCUCCCCCGAGCCCUGCGCCCCCCUGGCUUGGCCCCCCCCCCCCCCCCCCCCCCCCCCCCCCCCCCCCCCCCCCCCCCCCCCCCCCCCCCCCCCCCCCCCCCCCCCCCCCCCCCCCCCCCCCC
rnacentral:lncRNA from 12 species